UACGUAGGGGGCAAGCGUUGUCCGGAAUCAUUGGGCGUAAAGAGCGUGUAGGCGGCCCGGUAAGUCUGUUGUGAAAGUCCAGGGCUCAACCCUGGAAAGCCGAUGGAUACUGCCGGGCUAGAGUUCGGAAGAGGCGAGUGGAAUUCCUGGUGUAGCGGUGGAAUGCGCAGAUAUCAGGAGGAACACCAAUAGCGAAGGCAGCUCGCUGGGACGGUACUGACGCUAAGGCGCGAAAGCGUGGGGAGCGAACAGG
rnacentral:rRNA from 1 species